rnacentral:rRNA from 1 species
UACGGGGGGGGGCACGCGUUGUUCGGAAUUACUGGGCGUAAAGGGUCUGUAGGUGGCCAACUAAGUCAGACGUGAAAUCCCUCAGCUUAACUGGGGAACUGCGUCUGAUACUGGUUGGCUUGAGUGCAGGAGAGGAAUGCGGAAUUCCAGGUGUAGCGGUGAAAUGCGCAGAUAUUGGGAAGAACACCAGUGGCGAAGGCGGUUCUCUGGGACGGUACUGACGCUGAGACGCGAAAGCGUGGGGAGCGAACAGG